AACGUAGGAGGCGAACGUUAUCCGGAAUUACUGGGCGUAAAGCGCGCGCAGGCGGCUUCGUAAGUCCGACGUGAAAGCUCCCGGCUUAACUGGGAGAGGCCGUUGGAUACUGCGGAGCUUGAGGUUAGGAGAGGAAAGCGGAAUUCCCGGUGUAGUGGUGGAAUGCGUAGAUAUCGGGAGGAACUCCAGAGGCGAAGGCGCUUUCUGGCCUACACCUGACGCUGAGGCGCGAAAGCGUGGGGAGCGAACAGGAUUAGAUACCCUCGUA
rnacentral:rRNA from 1 species